rnacentral:rRNA from 1 species
UACGUAGGGUGCAAGCGUUGUCCGGAAUUAUUGGGCGUAAAGAGCUCGUAGGCGGUCUGUCGCGUCGGCUGUGAAAACCCGGAGCUCAACUCCGGGCCUGCAGUCGAUACGGGCAAACUGGAGUACUGCAGGGGAGACUGGAAUUCCUGGUGUAGCGGUGAAAUGCGCAGAUAUCAGGAGGAACACCGGUGGCGAAGGCGGGUUCUCUGGGGCCUA